rnacentral:rRNA from 1 species
GACGAACGCUGGCGGCGUGCUUAACACAUGCAAGUCGAACGGAAAGGCCCUGCUUUUGUGGGGUGCUCGAGUGGCGAACGGGUGAGUAACACGUGAGUAACCUGCCCUUGACUUUGGGAUAACUUCAGGAAACUGGGGCUAAUACCGGAUAGGAGCUCCUGCUGCAUGUUGGGGGUUGGAAAGUUUCGGCGGUUGGGGAUGGACUCGCGGCUUAUCAGCUUGUUGGUGGGGUAGUGGCUUACCAAGGCUUUGACGGGUAGCCGGCCUGAGAGGGUGACCGGCCACAUUGGGACUGAGAUACGGCCCAGACUCCUACGGGAGGCAGCAGUGGGGAAUAUUGCACAAUGGGCGGAAGCCUGAUGCAGCAACGCCGCGUGCGGGAUGGCGGCCUUCGGGUUGUAAACCGCUUUCGCCUGUGACGAAGCGUGAGUGACGGUAAUGGGUAAAGAAGCACCGGCUAACUACGUG